rnacentral:rRNA from 1 species
GACGAAUGCUGGCGGCGUGCUUAACACAUGCAAGUCGAACGGAAAGGCCCUGCUUGCAGGGUACUCGAGUGGCGAACGGGUGAGUAACACGUGGGUGAUCUGCCCUGCACUUCGGGAUAAGCCUGGGAAACUGGGUCUAAUACCGGAUAGGAGCCAUUUUCAGUGUGAUGGUUGGAAAGUUUUUUCGGUGUAGGAUGAGCUCGCGGCCUAUCAGCUUGUUGGUGGGGUAAUGGCCUACCAAGGCGGCGACGGGUAGCCGGCCUGAGAGGGUGGACGGCCACAUUGGGACUGAGAUACGGCCCAGACUCCUACGGGAGGCAGCAGUGGGGAAUAUUGCACAAUGGGCGCAGGCCUGAUGCAGCGACGCCGCGUGGGGGAUGACGGCCUUCGGGUGGUAAACUCCUUUCGCUAGGGACGAAGCUUUUGUGACGGUACCUAGAUAAGAAGCACCGGCUAACUACGU